ACAACAAUCAGCUGAAUUAUUUCCCACAUUAUCUUGAUAUGGAGAUGAAACGGGGUGUGAGUGUGAUUAACAGCUGCAGAGCUGCACUCAACACAGCCUCUCUGUAAUGUUUAUGCAAAUCUGCAUCUCCUCUUGUAAUAUUAGCAGCGUUCUGAUCUAGAGAGGAAACACUUCUCAUUAGUCUUCCUUCAACACAAACAUGUUUGCUUCAGCUCCACUGCUGCUGCUGGCUCUCGCCCCCUAUGUGUUGUGUGCUACUGAGCUCAUCCAGCCAGACUCACUGCUUAUAAAGCCAGGAGAGACUUUAACCAUCACCUGUAAAGUGUCUGGAGCUUCUAUCACUGAUAGCAGCAGCCACUUUGGAACAGCUUGGAUUCGACAACCUGCAGGAAAAUCUUUAGAAUGGAUCAACACCAUUUUUUAUGAUGGAGAUAUUUAUAAGAAAGAUUCACUUAAAGACAAGUUUGUGGUCUCUCGAGACACUUCCAGUAACUCUGUGACCUUACGGGGACAGAACAUGCAGACUGAAGACACAGCUGUGUAUUACUGCGCUCGUGUAACACACAGUGACACAACAAGCUGCAGUGCUGCACAAAAACCUCAUCACAAUUCACUUCUUUAAUUAAAUAACAACUACAUUUUACUGAGUAACUAAUCCCCAUAUUACAAAUAUUUCAGCAUAGACACCAACACUGGCAUUAAUAAAAUAAAUAAAUAAAAAUUUACUUAGGAAUAAUAGUCUCUUUUUUAACCGGUUGAAAUGAAAUGUGUCUGCAAAAGACAUUUAUUAUAAAGAACAACAUCCAUUCACACUCAGCACUCAGGCUUUAACUCUUCAUCCUGAAUGAACAAAAACCAUCCAAAAACUCCUCAAUCUAUAUCUAAUAAUUAAUAAGAAUCCAAUGUAAUUAAAUGUG